AAGCUCGUAGUUGAAUUUCGGGGUUCUACCGUUGGUCGGGCUAACAAGUCUGUACUAGCGUGUAGAAUCUCUACCUUCUGGGGAACCAUCAUGUUAUUAAUUUAGCGUGGUGGGAAACCAGGACCUUUACCUUGAAAAAAUUAGAGUGUUCAAAGCAGGCUUACGUCUGAAUACAUUAGCAUGGAAUAAUAAAAUAGGACGGUGGUCCUGUUUUGUUGGUCUCUGAAUCACCGUAAUGAUAAUAGGGAUAUUGGG
rnacentral:rRNA from 1 species